GACGAACGCUGGCGGCGUGCCUAAUACAUGCAAGUAGAACGCUGAAGAGAGGAGCUUGCUCUUCUUGGAUGAGUUGCGAACGGGUGAGUAACGCGUAGGUAACCUGCCUGGUAGCGGGGGAUAACUAUUGGAAACGAUAGCUAAUACCGCAUAAAAUGGAUUAUCGCAUGAUAAUUCAUUGAAAGGUGCAAAUGCAUCACUACCAGAUGGACCUGCGUUGUAUUAGCUAGUUGGUGGGGUAACGGCUCACCAAGGCGACGAUACAUAGCCGACCUGAGAGGGUGAUCGGCCACACUGGGACUGAGACACGGCCCAGACUCCUACGGGAGGCAGCAGUAGGGAAUCUUCGGCAAUGGACGGAAGUCUGACCGAGCAACGCCGCGUGAGUGAAGAAGGUUUUCGGAUCGUAAAGCUCUGUUGUAAGAGAAGAACGAGUGUGAGAGUGGAAAGUUCAC
rnacentral:rRNA from 1 species